AUUGAACGCUGGCGGCAGGCCUAACACAUGCAAGUCGAGCGAGCGGCGGACGGGUGAGUAAUGUCUGGGAAACUGCCUGAUGGAGGGGGAUAACUACUGGAAACGGUAGCUAAUACCGCAUACCAUCAGAUGUGCCCAGAUGGGAUUAGUUAGUAGGUGGGGUAAUGGCUCACCUAGGCGACGAUCCCUAGCUGGUCUGAGAGGAGGACCAGGCAAACUGGAACGGGGACAAGGUCCAGACUCCUACGGGGGGCAGCGGUGGGGAAUAUUGCACAAUGGGCGCAAGCCUGAUGCCGCCAUGCCGCGGGUAUGAAGAAGGCCUUCGGGUUGUAAAGUACUUUCAGCGAGGAGGCGUUACUCACAGAAGAAGCACCGGCUAACUCCGUGCCAGCAGCCGCGGUAAUAC
rnacentral:rRNA from 1 species